UACGGAGGGUGCAAGCGUUAUCCGGAUUCAUUGGGUUUAAAGGGUGCGUAGGCGGCCAGAUAAGUCAGUGGUGAAAUCUCCUUGCUUAACAAGGAAACUGCCAUUGAUACUGUUUGGCUUGAGUAUAGUUGCUGUGGGCGGAAUAUGACAUGUAGUGGUGAAAUACAUAGAGAUGUCAUAGAACACCGAUUGCGAAGGCAGCUCACAAAACUAUAACUGACGCUGAGGCACGAAAGUGCGGGGAUCAAACAGG
rnacentral:rRNA from 1 species